GUCAACAGAUCGCAGAUAAACAUCCGGAUGUGACAGUGAUCAGCUGAUCGUGAAUAAUGUUGGUCACGUAAAUAACUACGCUGUUCAUUUUGAUACAAAAUGUGGGUGAAACCGGAGGAAGUGCUCAUUUCGGGCGGGUUCUGGGACACAGAGGUUGCCAACACAUACUUUCUGCUGCAGCAUCGGAAGGGGGCAGGUCAUGGGUCUCGAGGCUUUGCAGGGAUCCUGGUGGGAACGUUGGACUCUGUUUUCGAUACCAAGCCGCCCCCAUAUCGAAUUUUACAUCAGACUCCUUCCGCAGAGUUGUAUUACAUUGUCGCAGUCUCUCUGAAGAAGGAAGAGAUUGAUGAAAAUUGGGUGUGGUUGGAGAGGAACCUCAUGACGAUUUUGGCGACGUUCGACAACGACGAAGAUGUGACGGAUUUCGUCCGUUGUAAAAUUGAGUCGUUGGUUGCCAAUUCUACGGUCACGGAUCCUCAUAGUACGCCAGAUCCUGAUUCAGAGACUUUCAAGGCAGUCUCUCAUAAGUUCAAGAAGUUAUUCAAUUUGCCUGAUGGCGAAAAACUGGUGAACUACUAUUCUUGCAGCUAUUGGCUGAACCGUCUUCCUCGCCAAGGGUGGCUAUACUUGAGCGUCAAUUAUCUUUGCUUCUACUCGUUCCUCCUGGGCAAAGAGACGAGGGUCAUCGUGAGAUGGAGGGACGUCAUCCUUCUGGACUGCACCAACGCUCUCAUUUUCCCCGACAGCAUCCGAGUCUCGACUCGAGACCAUGAGCACUACUUCUCCAUGCUACUCAGAAAGAAGGAAACUUAUGAGUUGAUGGAACAGUUGGCAAACAUGGCAAUGAAACAAUUAAUAAAUGAUGAAGAAUUCACUGAAGACAAAGAAUUGCUAACUAAAGUCAGUAAGAAAAUUCCCAAGAAGGCAUCUUUCCUGAAGAGAGACCUGGAUGCCAGAGCUCAUUCUGAUAUGUACCGCAGUAAAUUCAGGUUACCUCUUAGUGAGAAGUUGGAUGGAUCGACUACCUGUUUUCUCUGGGCCCCUUAUAAGAAGUCCUACAUCAGUGGAACCUUGUAUGUCUCUCCAAAUUAUAUCUGUUUCGAUAGCAAGAUUGCCAACCUGGUCAGCAUCGUGUGUCCCUUACGAGAAGUGCUGAGUGUGGAGCGCAUAGACAACAUCAAAGGAAACAGCUCGGUUAAACGGGCGCUGUUCCUCUGCACCACCCAGAGCAGUUCGAGCAAUUCGUUUCUUUUCAACGACGUCGGAGACAGGGACUUCGUCAUAAGGAAGCUUUCCGAGAUGCUGGGAAGAACCAUCCCGACAAAGAAUUGCGAGAUGAAUGUAUUUUUCGUUUUUAGUGCUUUACCGGAUAACAUCGGCAGAAAACCUGGAACGCGCAGCAACUCCAUUAGCGAGGAGAAGGUUGAAUAUUCAAGUCCGACCUCACAAAGUUCUCCUGGCAGCCAGGAAAAUGGAGUCAGCAGCAGCUCGGAGUGUCUGGAAGCUGAAACUAUCAUGUUGCCGUUGAGGACGCUGUGUAUAGGACCUGAGGAAGACCUCGAGGAGGGAGAGCACGAUAAACGGAAGCUAGCUCUUUGGGAACGACACUGGAAUGAGUAUGGUAGAGGCGUCACAAUGUACAGAACGGUAGAAACGGCGCGACUUGUUUUGGAAGGGUUACCGGACGAUAUUAGGCCUGAGGUGUGGAUGAUAUUUUCAGGGGCCAUAAAUGAACAGGCGAUGAACCCCUCACACUAUGAGCAAGCUGUGGUUGCUGGACUGCAAAGGGGUGGCCCAGCGAAUGACGAGAUCGAGAGGGACCUCCACCGGUCGCUUCCAGAGCAUCCUGCCUUCCAGAGCGAAACGGGAAUUUCUGCUCUCAGACGUGUGCUCUGUGCCUACGCGUGGAGGAAUCCUGCGAUAGGAUAUUGUCAAGCAAUGAACAUUGUAGCGUCCGUUCUCCUAGUAUACUGUAAUGAAGAAGAAGCAUUCUGGCUGCUGGCGGCACUAAGCGAACGCCUUCUUCCGGAUUAUUACAACACCAAGGUAGUUGGGGCCUUAGUCGAUCAGGGAGUCCUGGAAGACCUCAUUCUAGAUCACCUACCUGAUCUUCACGCCAAACUUUCGCGGCUCGGAAUCAUAUCUUUGAUAUCUCUGUCUUGGUUCUUGACCCUCUUUUUAAGUGUGAUGCCCUUCGAAGCAGCAGUUCACGUGGUCGACUGUUUCUUUUACGACGGUGCCCGUGUGAUCUUCAUGGUGGCCCUUGCUAUCUUGAAUGCCAACAAAGAUGUUCUUGAAAAGUGUGAUGAUGAAGGGGAAGCCAUGAUGAUAUUAUCCGAGUAUUUGAGCUCGAUCACUGCUGCGAAGUUGAGGUACGGGAAGCGCAAGGCCAGCGUCAGUGAAGAAGCCGUAACUUCCGAAGGGGCCGAGGCAUCUGUGAACAUUACUGAUAUUAUUGAAUCCGGGUACAAAAACUAUGGAUUCAUUACAAACGUAGCUAUUGAGAGGUUACGAGUAAAGCAUCGCCUUCGUGUUGUACAGUUGCUCGAAGAUACUGCUAUGAAGAACACGCUGCGUACAGUGGGACCUGAUUGCUUGCUGAAUGAAGAGGAUUUACGAGAGUUAGUCGCAUACGUUCGAGCAGAACAGAUUCUAGGAGCAGACGACAAGGAGGUUAGACAGCGCAGUAUGUCUGGGAAUCAGCUGGGCCAAGAAGGAUACGGGCUUGGUUACGAGACUUUUCGUCAGCUGUUCUUGGCUGCUUCUCCCUGGGGUCAGGGAGACAGAGCGGAUUCCCUUGUCACGAGCAUGUUCAACAUGUUAGAUGUUGACGGCUCUCACAUGCUCAGUUUCCGAUCUGUCGCUUGGCUGUACGGCGUAUUGUGUGUUGGAGAUUUUGCAAGAAAGCUCCGCUUAUUUUAUUACUUGCAUCUAGCCUUUCCACCGAGUCUGGAUGAUGUGGACAGUGUGAAAAGGGAGGAAGUGGAAGAAGAAGCUGCGGUUGAGGCUGAAGAAUAUUUCGAUGUCAUUGAGGAGGACUUUGGCAAAGGCAAGCUGGAUCUUAGUAUAUCUGAUGAGGAGAAGGUCUCUGCCAAUAAUUCUCCUAAGAAAGGUAAUGCUUACAAAGAUGAGCUGACCGGUCUGGCCACCAUCCACAAUCGGGAUUAUCGCAAAUAUGAGCAGCGCUUCUUGCCGCCCAUGAAUCAGGAGCAGUUCAUCAACAUGUGGAGGACUGUCUACAGUUUCUUUGCCCUGGAAACGAACCAGGAAAUCUUCACCUCACUUUCGAGAGUUGGAACGUUACUUCUACAAAUUGGUGAGGUGGGAAGAAGAGUUAAAGAAUGCGCCUCAAGGAGCAUCAGUGAAAGUGCAACACCUACUGACAGCAGUGUCAACACAGAUACAAGUUCAGAAUCAUCCAAAAAGGUGUCUGCACUUGAUUCUCCCAUGCCUUCAGAACUUGCCGGUGCGUGUACUCAAGCACCAGAGAAGUUAUUGUCGACGGACGAGACCGAGAGAAAGGCACGAGAACUAGAAGUGUCUCACCUCAUGAAUGUUCCCGGUGCCGAGUACAGUCUGCAAAAGUCACCGGAUGACGAGAGCAGUGACAAAGAGACGGACAGUGUGUCCAGUGCUUCUAACAUUCACUCGUCUUCUUCUGUGUCUCAUUCUGAACUAGAGUGGAGCAUUUCUUUUGAACAGUUCUUAGCGAACGUAGCCAACGAAGAGAGAUUGGUGAACUUCUUUGAAAGAUCGUUUAGUCUAGCCGAAGAGGUGCAAAAGCUCAGGAAACGGCAGGCGGUUAGCACGAACGGGAAUUUCUCCACGGCCACCACUCCUUCCUAACUGAUUGUUUACGUAAUGGGUAGAAAGAUCUGUAUUGUAUGUUGGUAAUGGAAGACAUACUACUUUAGGUGACGUGACAUAAAGACACUCGGCAGUUUUCACGAAAACUUUUUAUACUUGUGACUUAGAAAUAAGGCAGUUUAUCAUUCCUUGUAUAUUACUGUAGUUUUAGUGAUGUUUUACAUAAAGCAUAUAUUUCAUAGUUGUGGGAAAAUCACUUUGGUGUUUUAAAAGAGCCAUAAACUGGCAGUGCAAAAACUUUUAGUCAUGUUGACCAUGGCAGUUGCUCAAGGCAUUGGGUCUGUUUUAGACGUGGUGUAAUGCAGUAACCUUCUGAUGAAUAAACGUAAUUCAUUCGAGAAAAACAAAGCUGGAUUUGUAUAACUGUAUGUAGUAUAGUAUUUGUUUUAGUAUUGCGUGAUUUGAGUUGAUUUUAUGAAACUUUUCAAGCCAAGCACUGAGGCACUUUAUUCAGUGGCCAAGACAGCCGAAAGAGGGAGUUGGAGAGAAUGGACAGCAGGAGAAGAGAUCCAGAGAAUAAAGAUAAGGACCUAUGAGUGGAACUGGGAGAAACCCCCACUGUUGCACCGAGAAGUAAUAGUCAUAGGUUGGACAGCAAAACAGAAGAACGAAAGCGGGGAUGGAGGUAAAGUGAAAGGCUAAAAACUAGGUGCAGCUAGGGGCCAAAAGGAUAAUGCAAAGACCCUUUAGUAAUGCCUACUGUUCACCAUGUGAAGUGGACAGAUGGCACCAUCCCCCCCCCACAGGGGUUAGUAUUGCGACAGUUUGCAAAUUGAUUUAUGUGAAUUCUUGUAAUAAUAUACGGUAUGCUGUAGGCAUUAUGUUUAUUGGGUUUUGGUUAUACAUAAUUCAUAUCACUAUCCUUACUUUCCUCUAUAUUCUUCUAGAACAGAACGCAUAGAAGAACAGCCCUCAAAUUAUUGGUACCUGAGAGAAUGCGGAUGUUCUUGCCAGAAUAAAUUGGAAGGGUUGCUUAUGGUAAUUAAUUUUCUUGUAUGCAUUAUCUGCUAUGUUUAUCUUUUAGCAUUAGAAGACUUCAACAAAAGACCCAUCAUGUGUAAGACACCUUUUCUAUAAAUCUUAUCAAUUUUCUGUCCAGUAGUUUCUUGGUCUUCCUCUCCACCUCCCCCUCAACACUAUUACACUCAUUUUGCACAUCUUUCUUCCACCAUUCUCCUCUGACGACCAAACCAGCUGAACGCAUACACUGAUCCAUCUUUUUAAUAUGCUAGCCUUUAUGCAAGCUCUUCACAUUUCCACAUAAUAUUAUGCCUAGUAUUUAGUUCUUAAUCUACAGACAUUGUGCAGACAAUUCACCUCACCUGCUUCAGCUUUUCAGUAAUCCCUUUAUAAUUCCAGAGUUUGCAUCUGAAGACUGUAUUCUUUCAAUUUUUUACCCACAUCCAGCUACCUUUCUGAAUUUUCCUCUUCUCAGCUCUUGAUUUUCUCUAGUUCUGCCGUCAUCAGCUACAUUUUACUCCAAAAGGCCUGUACGAUACAUGUAUGUACACCUAAAUACAGUGCCUGUAUAAAUUUCUUCUUUUAUUAUUCCAUCUUCCACAUCUAUAUUUGCUACUUCAGUUUCCUGGUUUCCAUUUAUCCUCAUGACCUUACUCUUGCAAACACUUUCAAGUUCUUCUAGUUUCUUGCUACUAGUAUUCCCAAUCAGUACUUGGCAUCAUCUGCAAACAUUAGUACCUCAGUGGCGUGGUCGGUAUGGUGUUGGCGUGCCACCUCGGUGGCCGCGAGUUCGAUUCUCGGGCAUUCCAUUGAGGGGUGAGAGAUGUGUAUUUCUGGUGACUGAAGUUAGCAAAUAGCCUUGGAGACAAAAGACACCCUCAUCGUAGUCCCACUUCGACACCAAACCAGUCGCUUUCUCAUAUUCUCAUAUAUUUGAACAUACUUUCCUUUCAUGAUAAGAAUAUGAAUCAUUCUUAAAAGAUGACCUUCUACAUCACACUCCUGUAUGUUGUCUUUUGAAAGCGUGUCAACAGAGACGGCAUUUACAGAAAUUUUCCUUCACUCUCAAACUUCUCUCAUAAGUGUUUCAUUACAAGCAUUUGAUCCACCUAUAUUAUCUAUCUUUCAUCGACCUUAAUGGUUGUUACUGUACACUUGUGUUAUGCCUGUUAAGUCUUACAGUUAUCUGUAUCAUCUAUAUCCUAACAUAAUUUAGCUUAGUCCCUCUUCUGUCCACCACAUUUAAUCUAUAUAAUACAGCAACAAUUCCAAUAAUUUGUUAAGCAAUUGGUUGGGAAAUAUAUUAUUCAUUAGACUUUGGAAAUAGUUCCCUUUUUAAUGUAUGUACAUAAUUUCAUUUCUAAUUCUAGUUUGUUCAGACUGAAGAUUUUGGCCCACUGUGGCCUGUUCAGUUCCAUUUGGCUUUCAGGAUGAUUCUAGAUAGACAACUUGGGUGGGUGACAUCAUUGAGUGGAAACAUGGCGGCCUCUCCCAUGAUACUUACUGCUGUCCUGUAUUUGAGGUAGACAUAUGAAGUGUAUCUGUCAAUAAAUGAAAUUUUCUUGGAAAAUACAGUGAUUCCAAGCGUUUAAGUUGACUAGACUGAGUGGUAGACUUUCGUACUAUUGACUCUGGUGGUGAGAAGGAGUUUCAUGCUGUAAGGAAACUAUCCAUAAGUGUUGUGAGAUUCGUGUUACGCUUGUGUACCAAGUUGGCCUAUACUAACUCUAUAGCUAAUGUGGAAAGGAAGGUGUUGAUGGAAGACGAAAGGAAUCUCAGUCACAAACCAAUGGAAAGGGAGGAAAAGCCAACGCAAGCAGGGCUGGACAAAUUGGAAAUGAAGUGGUCCCUGGACUCUAAAAUGGAAGCUGAUUCAAGAACUGCUUGACAUUGAGGAGGCAAAAAUUUCUUGACAAGAAACUGAAAUGUACAGAGCUACAAGCCUUCUCGGAUUGAUGAUGGUGAGAAAUGGCCUCGGACAACUAAAUAGAAUGUCUGCUAAAGGUUUAUGAAGCUUUUACUUCACUAUGAAUUGAAGCAUUGACUAAUUUACACCCUGGAAGAACUUGUCUUUAAAUGUCAAGGAUAUGUGAGUAUGGUAAAAAUGUUUGUGGGCAAAUUCAAGACCCCGAGGACAUUGAAAAUGUGGGACUUUUGGCAGUAUGACAGUGCACAUUGAGACCACCUAACAACCACAGGACCCUCAGUCUGGUGGCACCUUGGCAAUGAAGGCUAACCUUCACAGGGAGGAUCUCCCUUUAGACUCCCAAGUUUUUCUUUUUGGACCUUCAAACUAGCAAAUGGUAAUAUUUGCAAAUGUGUCCUCUUUAAAUCAGGCCAUGGAUCAAGGAGUCGUCCAGAAAUCUAAAAGUGAAUUCCUUCCUCUCUGUUCCAGAGGGUGAGUUAUCUGUACAUGGCUGCUAUGAUGUGGAAUGAUUGGAAUGAUAUGAAGAGGUUGUCCAUACAAAGUUCAUAGCAGGAAUUUUGGCUUGAUACUACUUUGCUCCUGGAAGGUGAAGAUGAUAAAAGAGGAUUUAGUGGGCUUCUUUUAAGAUGAUGAAUAAACUGCUUGGGAUGCCUGAUAAAAGCUCACAGAGCAGGAUAUUGUGGAAUACGGCCAACAAGAUGAUGCAUUUGUGGUUUUGCAGUUAAUGGAGAAAUAGAAGGAAGGCAGUAGACUUGGGAGGAAGAAACAAAGAUAAGAAACAAAUAUUCCCAUGCAAAGUGGCCCCAUUCUCCAAACUGAUGAACAGGAGAAGAAAGGUGAGUGACAAGUUCCAGUGUAGUGUUCUCUUGAAGUGUUGUAAGUUGUGGUUGCGUUACGCCAGUGUAUAUUUAGACAUUAUAUUUUGGUAAGGAAAACUUUGAUUGUAAGUAAUGUAACAGCAGAAAUAAGCCUCACAAACUGCUAAGGCAGGUGACUUGAUUAACCAGCAUAGAAUACUGUAUCAUUUGGCACGGGAUCAACCCCAAAUUGCGUGAAUAAUAUGACUUUCCCUUGAUUCACUCCAUCGAUACACGACUGGAUUCCUUUCAGGGAGCGUUUAAGAUGUAUUUCCGUUUUCUCUCUCCAUUUGUUGGAGAACUUUUCAUCCUGAAUUAUUUAUGCAUUUACUUUAUGUCCCUCCUACUUCUCAGUCCAACUCCUUUAUUGUUGCUUUGUUCCAACAUCCACCUUGUUUAAGAACAGAGACUUCGGAAACCCUGAAUGAGUUAAUUAUUUUUUCAUAUCUACCCUCAGAUUUUAUAUCUCGGUUUUUCUCGACUCACUUUGGUCUUGGAAGCUGCUGCAAAAUCAUCUCUUGUCUGCUAAUGACUUUCAGAUAGUAAUCUCAUUUUUCCCUUUAUUUAUAGUCUUAAGUUCAUCCUACCACCAGUGAACUGCAUUUAUUAAUACUUCCUCCCCUCCUAUACACACAACCUCUCCUUGCCGAGUCUGUGAUCUCAUUCUUUGAUUACUGUACAGUACACUUUAAUAUAUUUAACUUAUGUCCAUAGGUUAUCCAGGAUCAUAUAAGUUAGACUUACCUCGUAGUCAAACUGUUUGUUUUGAUGAUAUAUAGUGAACCCCCGUAUUUAUAGACUUGUGUUCGCGGAUUUCUCUCUGGAACAUAUACCCCAAAGUCCCCCAUUAUUUACAGAAAAUUCGCCUAUUCGUGGUAUUUUUCCAUGAGAAAUAUCCACAAAUUCCUGGUUUUUUAUAUAAAUUUUAACAUAAAAUGCAUUUUUUGUGAUAAAACUAUUAAAAAAACUAGGUAUAAACAUUUGUACUGGUUUUAUCUUGAGUUUUACCUAACAAAAUGUGCAGUUUUAAGCAUUUUUAUAGGGGUUUCAACUAUUUGCGGGUUCUGACUAUUCACAGGGGCUCUGGCACCCAUCCCCUGCGAAUAAUGGUUGGGGGGGGGACACUGUACAGCCUUGUUUUCAUCCUUUACUCCAGUUCAAAUUAUCAAUCAAUGUCGACAUUUCCUCCAGCUAGUGAAUGAUCUUAUAUACCUCCACUUUCAACCAAGUAAUGAUCAUAUAUACCUCCAACGACACUCAUUACAACUACUACGUCCAUUAACUUGCUCUUCCGUCGUAAGUGUAUUACUGUAGCAUACUUUGUUGCUACACAUUAUACAAACCAUCAGUCCUUUACAUAAAGAAUUACUUUUAGCGCCAGCUGGAACCAAUUCCUUAUGGAAAGGACCUCAGGUUUGUAUAGCUAAGAAAAAUACAAUUUACUUUCAAAAAUUGUGAUUUUUCUGUGCCAUUUUCUCGUUCUUAAGUAUACUACAGUGGACCCCCCGUAUUCGCGUUCUCCGGAUUCGCAGACUCACACAUUUGCGGAUUUCUCUCGGGAACGUUUCCCCGCAUUAAUUGCGGAAAAUUCGCACAUUCGCUGUAUUUUUCUAUGGGAAAUAUCCACAAAUUCCUGGGUUUUUUUUUAUCAAUUUCAUCAUAAAAUGCACUUUUUGUGAUAAAACUAUUAAAAAAACCAAGUAUGAAAAUUUUUAGUGGGUUUUUCUUGAGUUUUAACAAACAAAAUAGGCUGUUUUUAGCAUUUUUAUAGGGGUUCCAAACAUUUGCGGGUUCUAACUAUUCAAGGGGGUGUCUGGUACGCAUCCCCUGCGAAUACGGGGGACCACUGUACGUACAUACUUCUGAAUACUACUGAAUUAUACUUUGGAAACCAAUUAUAAUACUGUCAAUAACUAAUCCUGCAUAACUGAAAUAAACAUAUUUUUGGUCACAGACAAAGACAAAUGAAAAUAGAUGAAUGCAAAUCCUUUAUUAUACUUGACUUCAAAAACUAUUGUAGGCUUCAGAAACUUAUUGUAUCAGUUUAUAUAAGGACAAAAACUUAUUACGGUAUAUCAGUACAUAAUAUAAGGACUUUUAUGAUAUCUGUACGUAAGGACAUGUUAUACAUUCAGUUAGAAGACAUGAGAUUGGUACAAUAGGCAUCUUCAAAGUUUACUGACUUUGUACUGGCUGUAAUACUGCAUUCUUAAUGCCAUUCCUGUUCUUACAUUAUUUUUCAUUUAGGUAUUAAAUUCUAUGUUCUUUUGUUCAAGUAAUCUCUCUCCUCUUACACAACUGGAAAGUGAAUGACAGUCGUAAAGAAGUUUAUGAAUAGUACAUAUUGCAUUUAUUUACUACGACUGAUUUUAAUAAAAACUCAUAUUUCCACGUGCAUACACAUUCAACAUCUGUGUCCUGUAGCUUGCUCGAGAUGUUUCCAAAACCAGGGAGUUAUGAAGGGUACGAGGUGUUCUUAUCAGUUACAAAUUUAGGAAAUGAAAAGAAAGCCUUUUUUUUUUUCUUUUUUUUUUUGUAUUCUGCAUUCACAUUUUUACUUGCAAUUUCUCUUAGUUAAUAAGUUUUAUUCCUCUCUCCCCGAUUGUAAUGAACCCCAUUAUGCAUGGUCUAGGUCAUUUCCUAAUGUCAAAGGCACAUUGAAGGAGUUAAAAUAUAGCUGUAAAAUUUAAACACUAUGACCUGUACAUGUGACAGAUCACUGAAUGAUCUACUGAUUCUGUUGUCUAAUAAUGAUUAAAUUUUAGUUUUCCAGUUCUAUUUUAUGUAACAUUUAUUGUUUUUUUCUUAUCUGAGUUAUAUCAAUGAAAUUGUUUAUGAUUAGAAUCUAGUAAUUCGUAAAAAGAUUCAGUCAUCAGUCUACAUAAUUAAUUCACAAUUGUGGUACUAAUGGUUUCCCCACGGCCAUCUUGAGUGUUUAUUGACGUGUUCCAAAUUGAAGGUGAUUACAGUUAUACGUAUUAAUACACAACUGGAUUAAUGUGGUUAUUUUCUCUGGUUGCAGUGGAAAGUUGUGUGUGUGUGUUAUUGCAACAGCAAUAUAAUGCGAACGUGUGAUAAGAAUGACUGCACAUCCAAACUAAUCGUGUUUGAUUGAAAGGGAAAGUCGUUUGAUUUUGCUAUGAGUACCUUUGUUUGACAGUUUUUGUGGAGUCACCUUUUUGAUGAGAUCAUUUUCGUAAAAAUGGUCAGAAUCACCGGAUAGUCUCCAUCGAGCAUUUAAAACUUGCACGGGACCAAAUGGACAUUUCUACCUAGCUUUCAAACCGAGAACCAUCGCACUAUCACACACAGAUCUUUGGUGCAGAAAUCUUAGGAGGUCCAUAGUGACUGACAGUUCCAGCGAGCCACCCAGUACCUUCUGUAGGUAAAACCAUCUCCUGCACCAUGAUAAAAACCAGAACUCUAAUCUUGCCAAGCUCACUGGAUUUAAAUGGGUCUGAUGAUGUGUAUUUAACAAAAAUCAAACCCAUUUUGAAAAAUACUCAAUGUGAAUUUUAAAUUGUCUUCACAUUGGCCUUUCCUUCCAGCUUAUGAACAUCAAUUGGCUGUUGCUCGAAAUGAAUCGGUCCCCCCGGUGUGGCGCAUUUGGUGUAAACCAGCAGUGGAAUUGGACGUGAAAGUUCCAAGUCCCAAAAGUGAGAAAUUUUGAAAAAAACGCGGAUACCUUGGUGAAAUAAUUUAUAUCAACAGUGCCAUAGCAGUACUGGUCAGUCAUGCAAAAUACAUUUAAAGAAUCUACUGGAUAAUGUAUAUAUAUGUAAUGAAAGGGUGUCCCCAUGCAGUCAUAAAUAACUUUUAACUAGAGAAGUUUGAGCACAGCAAAUCAUAACCUUGUGGAUGUCACAUACCUUCCCGAACCUCAGACUGAAUACAGGCAGUCCUCGGCGUACGACGUUCUGAGGUUACGACGCUUUUCAAUUAUAUUCGUCAGAAAUUAUUUCCAGGUUUAUGAUGCACGUUCCAGGGUUACAGCACUUAAGGCGCUGAUCUGACGGAAAAAUGUGACUCCAAUAAUGCAAAAUAAUCAAUAUUUGAAGUUUUUUUAUGAAAAAUGCAAUAAAAAUGCAGUUUA